rnacentral:rRNA from 1 species
ACCCAACAGCUAGCCCCACCAACCAAAAGAAACAAACCCCUAUUUAUAACCCCACAAGAACCACUAAACACUAAACAAACCAUUUUACCCCCUUAGUAUGGGCGACAGAAAAGGAGCCUCGGAGCCAUAGAAGAAGUACCGCAAGGGAAAGCUGAAAGAGAACUGAAACAACCUAGUAAAGAUUAAAAAAGCAGAGAUCACACCUCGUCUUUU